GUGAACUCGUGCACAGGAAAUGCAGCUGAACCACCUGGAGUGAGCCUGGGACCCUCUGGCACCGUGAAGUUUGGAUUUGGAGCCUGGAGAGAGGCCUGGCAGGUCUCAGAAGUGACACCGUGAACCUGGGAGACCGUGUGCAGACUGCCCUUUCCCUCACCCCCCCCC